rnacentral:lncRNA from 1 species
GUGCUCAUGAUCAGUGUGCUUGUAAACAUGUGCUCAUGAUCAUGUGAUCUGUUAACAUGUGCUCGUGAUCGUGUGAUCUAUUAACGUGUGCUUGUGAUCGUGUGAUCUGUUACCGUGUGCUUGUAAACAUGUGCUCAUGAUCAUGUGAUCUGUUAACGUGUGCUGGUGAUCAUGUGAUCUGUUAACGUGUGCUGGUGCUCAGGUGAGAAGCCGCACGUGUGCUCCAUCUGCGGGAAGACAUUCUCUCAGAGCGGCAGCAGAAACGUCCACAUGAAGAAGAGACACAGCGAUGAGACGCUGCCUCCUGACAGCAGAGACACGGGUGAAGCGCUCACUCAGAGCAGUCUGCUGGAGGCGGACUCCGGCGGUGAUUCGAUGGUCAGCGUGAAUCUGCAUCACGCCAUCUUACCAACUCAAGGUACGGACACUCUCUCUGAUGCUGCGCUCUGUCACAUGACUAACGGCAGUGACGUCAUCACGCGUGUUCUGUGUGCUCAGGUGCGGCGGUCGUGGUUCUGACUCCGCCCCAUGACCUGGUCACCAUGACGACGGGCCACGGCUACAGCGAUGACGUGGUCGCUCUGCUCUAACAGCUGCUUUUGUAAAUAAACUCUUUUAGGAAAAACACGCUUCUCCAUUUCAUCAUUUCAUCAUCAAAAACACUAACGAGUGGGAACAUCUCAAACUCCUUCAAAUCAGACAUUUCUUUGUAUUAACUGCAAUGUGAAAAUAAACAUCAACAAAAUAACUCCUCCUCACAAGUGACAUGCCAAUAAACUAAGCAUGAGAUUCUGCCUUUAUGAGACGUCAGGUAUACACAUGUGAAACCCUGAAACGCACCGCUAAAGGAAGACUGGAGGAGGAUGAGUGUUUUCAAACUUCAAAAAUGAAACAAUGAGGAGAAAAGGGUUUUGAUGAGGUGUUUUUGACAAGAAAUCAAGUUUUUUGACCAGAGAAAUGUUUUUUUGUUUUGACCGGAAAUUUUUUUUGUAUGAUUUGAAAAAAUAUAUAUUUGAAGACUGA